ensembl:lncRNA
AUUCAGCCUCCCACACCUAUGAACUUGAAACUACUAUUCCACUCAUUUGACAGCUGUGCCAAUUAUUUCCCACCAGCAGUGCCUGAAAUCCUGAACUGUUACCCCAACUCUUGAUGCUCUAGGGUCAGAAUGUUACUUGAACACACAAAAUCAAAAGAUUUUUACUGCUUCUUAUCAACUUAGGGACUGAAAAGUGUUUCUCUUCAUGAGAGGAGAGGAACAGUUCCUUAGAUAAUAGUAACCAAAAAAUUACAGUUGGAAUAAAGAAGCAUUGAUUUCCUGGAGAAAAGAAAAUCAUUUCGUUGCCUUAACAUACUGUAAGACCGCAAACAUUGUCCUAACACUGAUCAUGAAGACCAGCUUCCUGUCUUCACCAAGACUUGAACGUUCUACCUUGUCAGAAGCACUGCUUCUGAGAGUUUUAUUUUCCACCUAAAUGGGCUGUUUUCAUCUCCCAUGUCAUCUCCUGAAGAUCUCUGGCGGCCAGCACUGUCUGAUCGUCCCUCUGAGUGCCCUGCACAAGUAGUUGGAUGAGAAAA